rnacentral:rRNA from 1 species
UAGAGUUUGAUCAUGGCUCAGAACGAACGCUGGCGGCGUGCCUAACACAUGCAAGUCGAGCGCGAAUAGGGGCAACCCUUAGUAGAGCGGCGCACGGGUGCGUAACACGUGGAUAAUCUGCCUGGAUGCUCGGGAUAACCAGUCGAAAGAUUGGCUAAUACCGGAUAAGCCCACGGUUUCUUCGGAGACUGAGGGAAAAGGUGGCCUCUGUAUACAAGCUAUCACAACCAGAUGAGUCCGCGGCCCAUCAGCUAGUUGGCGGGGUAAUGGCCCACCAAGGCGACGACGGGUAGCUGGUCUGAGAGGACGAUCAGCCACACUGGAACUGAGACACGGUCCAGACUCCUACGGGAGGCAGCAGUGGGGAAUUUUGCGCAAUGGGCGAAAGCCUGACGCAGCAACGCCGCGUGUGUGAUGAAGGUCUUCGGAUUGUAAAGCACUUUCGACCGGGACGAAAACCCGUAGCCCAACACGCUACGGCUUGACGGUACCGGGAGAAGAAGCACCGGCUAACUCUGUGCCAGCAGCCGCGGUAAUGCAGAGGGUGCAAGCGUUGUUCGGAAUUAUUGGGCGUAAAGCGCGUGUAGGCGGCGUGACAAGUCGGGUGUGAAAGCCCUCAGCUCAACUGAGGAAGUGCGCCCGAAACUGUCGUGCUUGAGUGCCGGAGAGGGUGGCGGAAUUCCCCAAGUAGAGGUGAAAUUCGUAGAUAUGGGGAGGAACACCGGUGGCGAAGGCGGCCACCUGGACGGUAACUGACGCUGAGACGCGAAAGCGUGGGGAGCAAACAGGAUUAGAUACCCUGGUAGUCCACGCCGUAAACGAUGAGAACUAGGUGUCGUGGGAGUUGACCCCCGCGGUGCCGUAGCUAACGCAUUAAGUUCUCCGCCUGGGAAGUACGGU